rnacentral:misc_RNA from 1 species
UCUCCGUUGGUGAACCAGCGGAGGGAUCAUUACCGAGUUUACAACUCCCAAACCCAAUGUGAACAAUACCAAACUGUUGCCUCGGCGGGGUCACGCCCCGGGUGCGUCGCAGCCCCGGAACCAGGCGCCCGCCGGAGGGACCAACCAAACUCUUUCUGUAGUCCCCUCGCGGACGUUAUUUUUACAGCUCUGAGCAAAAAUUCAAAAUGAAUCAAAACUUUCAACAACGGAUCUCUUGGUUCUG